rnacentral:rRNA from 1 species
UACGUAGGGUGCAAGCGUUGUCCGGAAUUAUUGGGCGUAAAGAGCUCGUAGGCGGUUUGUCACGUCGGAUGUGAAACCCUGAGGCUCAACCUCAGGCCUGCAUUCGAUACGGGCAGACUAGAAUUCGGCAGGGGAGACUGGAAUUCCUGGUGUAGCGGUGAAAUGCGCAGAUAUCAGGAGGAACACCGGUGGCGAAGGCGGGUCUCUGGGCAGUAACUGACGCUGAGGAGCGAAAGCGUGGGGAGCGAACAGG